rnacentral:rRNA from 1 species
AGUGAACGCUGGCGGUAGGCCUAACACAUGCAAGUCGAACGGCAGCACAGUAAGAGCUUGCUCUUACGGGUGGCGAGUGGCGGACGGGUGAGGAAUACAUCGGAAUCUACUUUUUCGUGGGGGAUAACGUAGGGAAACUUACGCUAAUACCGCAUACGACCUACGGGUGAAAGCAGGGGAUCUUCGGACCUUGCGCGAUUGAAUGAGCCGAUGUGGGAUUAGCUAGUUGGCGGGGUAAAGGCCCACCAAGGCGACGAUCCGUAGCUGGUCUGAGAGGAUGAUCGGCCGCACUGGAGCGGAGACACGGUCCAGACUACUACGGGAGGCAGCAGUGGGGAAUAUUGGACAAUGGGCGCAAGCCUGAUCCAGCCAGACCGCGUGUGUGAAGAAGGCCUUCGGGUUGUAAAGACCUUUUGUGGGGAAAGAAAAGCAGCAGGUUAAUACCCCGCUGUUCUGACGGUACCCAAAGAAUAAGCACCGGCUAACUUCGUG